rnacentral:rRNA from 1 species
GACGAACGCUGGCGGCGUGCUUAACACAUGCAAGUCGAACGGAAAGGCCCUGCUUUUGUGGGGUGCUCGAGUGGCGAACGGGUGAGUAACACGUGAGUAACCUGCCCUUUACUUUGGGAUAACUUCAGGAAACUGGGGCUAAUACCGGAUAGGAGCUCCUGCUGCAUGGUGGGGGUUGGAAAGUUUCGGCGGUUGGGGAUGGACUCGCGGCUUAUCAGCUUGUUGGUGGGGUAGUGGCUUACCAAGGCUUUGACGGGUAGCCGGCCUGAGAGGGUGACCGGCCACAUUGGGACUGAGAUACGGCCCAGACUCCUACGGGAGGCAGCAGUGGGGAAUAUUGCACAAUGGGCGGAAGCCUGAUGCAGAAACGCCGCGUGCGGGAUGACGGCAUCCGGGUUGUAAACCGCUUUCGCCUGUGACGAAGCGUGAGUGACGGUAAUGGGUAAAGAAGCACCGGCUAACUACGUG